rnacentral:rRNA from 1 species
AUUGAACGCUGGCGGAAUGCUUUACACAUGCAAGUCGAACGGUAGAGGGGGCAACCCCUCGAGAGUGGCGAACGGGUGAGUAAUAUAUCGGAACGUGCCCAGUCGUGGGGGAUAACGUAGCGAAAGUUACGCUAAUACCGCAUACGAUCUAAGGAUGAAGGCGGGGGAUCGCAAGACCUCGCGCGACUGGAGCGGCCGAUAUCAGAUUAGGUAGUUGGGGGGGUAAAGGCUCAACGAGCCAACGAUCUGUAGCUGGUCUGAGAGGACGACCAGCCACACUGGAACUGAGACACGGUCCAGACUCCUACGGUAGGCAGCAGUGGGGAAUUUUGGACAAUGGACGCAAGUCUGAUCCAGCCAUUCCGCGUGCAGGAUGAAGGCCCUCGGGUUGUAAACUGCUUUUGUACGGAACGAAAAGGUCUCUCUUAAUACGGGGGGCUCAUGACGGUACCGUAAGAAUAAGCACCGGCUAACUACGUGCCAGCCGCCGCCGUAA